AUAAUUUUUUUUUUAUGUUAAACUAUUAACGAAAAUCUGAAAAAGUAUGCAGUUCUUAUUUUGGGCUUUAGAUAAUUGGUAACUAUUAUAUAUUUUCCAAAUUCAAAAUUCCAAACUCCACUAAUAAUAAUAAUUCCGUCACUCCGCAUACUUAUAAAAUGUCAAAAAUGAGUUUGGAAGAUUCCGAUACCGAAGGAGCAUGUGCUAGUAAUUUUAAAAAAAGUUCAUCUGAUAAUAUAUUUCAUACACAAUCAACAUACCUAAAACUCCCAAGUAGGGUUGAUUUUAAAUCAGAAAGUUCAUCAUCUGAAUCUGAUUUAGAUGUUCGUAAAGCGUGCCGAAGGUUACCAGUUCUAACUACACCGAGCAACAAAACUCUUGAGUCCGAAUCCAGUCAUUCGAAAUCAGCUGACAAAUGUGAAGCGGCUAUCUGUCAACUGCCUUGUGUUCAGUACAAAUAUAAUAGAGGCGUUUUACAAGAUACCGAUAAGACACAAAGCACCUCACAGGAAAAACUACUUACAGCAAUAAGUGAAUCGUACAACACUGAGAAUAGUGAUAAGGUGAAUCCAUUCAAUUCAAAUCCAAAAAAGUUAAUGGAACACUCACAACUAGAAUUGAAACGGUUGCAAAUUAAAAAAGAAUUAAAACAGAUAGAACUACUAGACGUGAUGCUCACACGCGAAAAAGAAAGAAGUAUACGUGAUAAUUACAGAUUCGAGAAGGAAAUGUUACUGCUCAAGACGGAAAUAACUAAAACAUUAAAUAAGUCUGUGAUUACAAAUUCAACAAAUACUUCUCAAUAAGAUUAACAAACUGAAGCAACAAUAUCGGACAACAAAAAAAAAGAAUUUCUUAGACAAAACUCAUCCUUGAUAACAUUUCAAGAAAUUAUAUAAAAAGAUCAAUGCAAAAGUUAGAAAACAGUGAGAGGAAAAAUCUGAACACCUUGAGUAAUACCUACAAAUACUUGAAGGAAUGAGAAGCAGAAAACUUGCAAAUUAUGCACAGUGCCAUCUGAAAGAAAGAAAAUGAAUAAAAAAUUUCUAGUGAUAAUUGAGGAAAUUAUAAACAAAAUACAAAAAAUAGACGACAUUAUUACCUAAAAAGAAAAAAAUAUUUCAUUAGUCAGAUGGAAUCUUGUUUCUAGAACAUCCAUACUAACAAUUUAAGGAAUUACCAACAAAGAAAGGUAUACACUCUGGAGCGAUUUACUCGAUACUGUUCCAUAAUUUUUAUGUCAAAGGUGCAUUAUAUUCUGGCCGAUCACUCACUAAAAAAACCAAUGAAAUUCUGCAACUGGUAGAGCAAGACCAUCACGCAAGUUGUCAAGAGAUUGCAGGGGUACUAAACAUCAACCAGGUAACUGUUUAGAAUUUAAUUUAAAAGAGCAGGCCAUGCAAAGACACUCGAUAACUCGAUAAUAUCCAAUAAAAGCGAUUAUGGUGAAAAGUCACUAACCCUCCACAAACGACUUCAAAGCCUAAGUAGACGCUAAACUAUUC